AAAAAAGUACUUCGUUUCACAUGUUAUUUCGUAUAAAUUAAUACUUUAUACUUAUCUCGUAUACUUUAAACUUGUCUUCGUGUACCGGUUUCAUACUAUAAUAAGUAAAAUAACUAUGUAAUAAAACUAAUUUAAUUUUUUUUCCACCAAAAAAAAAUUAGUUUAAAUUUUAAUCGCGUAAACAACAUAUCACAUAACAGUGAUUGGGUUAUGGGUAUUUACAAAUUUUUUUUAUUUCGUUGAGACUAAAACGACGUCCUUUUAGUCACUUUUACUCCUAAAAUUCUUAAAAUCCAUUUGUUCUCCUUAAAUCUUCGAUUGCUCUCAAAAUCUUAAUUUAAAAACGAAGCCGAAACAACGAUUCUCGAAAAGAUCAACGAAUUCGUACGAAUGAUCAUUAAUAAUAAUCGACUCGAGAUUGACUUCAUUUGCAGCAUGUGUUGAGAGUGUAGGGAUUAGAAGUGGUGCUGGACUAUCUUUAGACGUUCCUACACGUUGGAAUUCAACUUAUGAUAUGCUUGUCAGAACUUUAAAGUUUCGUAAGGCAUUUGCUAGUUUGAAAGAGUGUGACAGAAACUAUAUAUCAUUUCCUUCUAAGUAUGAGUGGGAUCUUGGAGAGAGAAUUUGUGACCUUUUGAAGUCGUUUAGUACCAUCACUGCCUACUUCUCAAGUGUCAAAUAUCCUACAACUAAUGUGUAUUUUCUGCAAGUGGAAAAUUGAGUGUCUUUUGAAGGACUACGCAAACUAUGGUGAUUUUGGAGUGGAAUAGAUAGUUAGUAAGAUGUAGUUAAAGUUUGAUAAGUAUUGGGAUCAAUACAGUAUCAUUCUAGCUAUGAGAGCUAUUCUAGAUCCAAGGUUGAAGAUGCAGAUUCUUAAAUCAGCUUAUAAUAAGAUGGAUUCGAGUAGUUCAGAAGAAAAGGUCAAUGUUGUUGUGAAGAGUUUGAAGGAUCUUUGCAAAGAACACAUGGAAAAGGCUUAAACUUCUUCCACCUUCUCAACAACACACACUCCACAUGAACUUCUUUCAGUUUAGGCAUUGUUCUAAAAUACUUUGUACGUUAGUCGUACGGUAGAGUACCAUAUAGCGUAUAGACAGUGACUAACUGAUAUUAUUAGUUCUUUAAAAUUUUCACUCUACAUGGAGUAUAAUAAUUGAUGUAAAUAUUUUUUAACAUUAACAUGAAUUAGUAAUAAAUCGAUGCAAAUUAUAUGCAUCUCUACUUUAAAGUCACUUAUUU
rnacentral:sRNA from 1 species